rnacentral:rRNA from 1 species
UACGUAGGGUGCGAGCGUUGUCCGGAAUUAUUGGGCGUAAAGGGCUCGUAGGUGGCCAACUAAGUCAGACGUGAAAUCCCUCGGCUUAACCGGGGAACUGCAUCUGAUACUGGAUGGCUGGAGAUUGGGAGAGGGAUGCGGAAUUCCAGGUGUAGCGGUGAAAUGCGUAGAUAUCUGGAGGAACACCGGUGGCGAAGGCGGCAUCCUGGACCAACACUGACGCUGAGGAGCGAAAGCCAGGGGAGCAAACGGG